GUGUACGCUGGCGGUAGGCCUAACACAUGCAAGUCGAACGGCAGCACCGUAAGAGCUUGCUCUUACGGGUGGCGAGUGGCGGACGGGUGAGGAAUACAUCGGAAUCUACUUUUUCGUGGGGGAUAACGUAGGGAAACUUACGCUAAUACCGCAUACGACCUACGGGUGAAAGCAGGGGAUCUUCGGACCUUGCGCGAUUGAAUGAGCCGAUGUCGGAUUAGCUAGUUGGCGGGGUAAAGGCCCACCAAGGCGACGAUCCGUAGCUGGUCUGAGAGGAUGAGCAGCCACACUGGAACUGAGACACGGUCCAGACUCAUACGGGAGGCAGCAGUGGGGAAUAUUGGACAAUGGGCGCAAGCCUGAUCCAGCCAUACCGCGUGGGUGAAGAAGGCCUUCGGGUUGUAAAGACCUUUUGUUGGGAAAGAAAAGCAGCAGGUUAAUACCCCGCUGUUCUGACGGGACCCAAAGAAUAAGCACCGGCUAACUUCGUG
rnacentral:rRNA from 1 species